AGAGUUUGAUCCUGGCUCAGGAUGAACGCUAGCUACAGGCUUAACACAUGCAAGUCGAGGGGCAGCGGGAAGGAAGCUUGCUUUCUUCGCCGGCGACCGGCGCACGGGUGAGUAACGCGUAUCGAACCUGCCUCAUACUCGGGGAUAACCUUGCGAAAGUAAGACUAAUACCCGAUGUUUUCAUCUCCUCGCAUGAGGAGUUGAACAAAGUUUUUCGGUAUGAGAUGGCGAUGCGUCCCAUUAGCUUGUUGGCGGGGUAACGGCCCACCAAGGCAUCGAUGGGUAGGGGUUCUGAGAGGAAGGUCCCCCACAUUGGAACUGAGACACGGUCCAAACUCCUACGGGAGGCAGCAGUGAGGAAUAUUGGUCAAUGGACGGAAGUCUGAACCAGCCAAGUAGCGUGCAGGAUGACGGCCCUCUGGGUUGUAAACUGCUUUUAGUUGGGAAUAAAGUGCGGUACGUGUACCGUUUUGUAUGUACCAUCAGAAAAAGGACCGGCUAAUUCCGUGCCAGCAGCCGCGGUAAUACGGAAGGUCCAGGCGUUAUCCGGAUUUAUUGGGUUUAAAGGGAGCGCAGGCGGACUCUUAAGUCAGUUGUGAAAUACGGCGGCUCAACCGUCGGACUGCAGUUGAUACUGGGAGUCUUGAGUACACGCAGAGAUACUGGAAUUCAUGGUGUAGCGGUGAAAUGCUCAGAUAUCAUGAGGAACUCCGAUCGCGAAGGCAGGUAUCUGGAGUGUAACUGACGCUGAGGCUCGAAAGUGCGGGUAUCAAACAGGAUUAGAUACCCUGGUAGUCCGCACAGUAAACGAUGAAUACUCGCGGUUGGCGAUAUACAGUCAGCCGCCAAGCGAAAGCGUUAAGUAUUCCACCUGGGGAGUACGCCGGCAACGGUGAAACUCAAAGGAAUUGACGGGGGCCCGCACAAGCGGAGGAACAUGUGGUUUAAUUCGAUGAUACGCGAGGAACCUUACCCGGGCUUGAACUGCCAGUGACGCAUGCAGAGACGCAUGUUUCUUCGGACACUGGCGGAGGUGCUGCAUGGUUGUCGUCAGCUCGUGCCGUGAGGUGUCGGCUUAAGUGCC
rnacentral:rRNA from 1 species